UUUGACAAAGUAUGUAGCUUGUCCACAUGACUUAACCUCUUCAUAUGAUUCCCUCAUCUUUAACAUGGGGGUAGUGACAGUCCCACAGCACUGUUAAAACUCCUUGGGGCUUGAAACCUCGUCUCUUCACAUGCCACAAACACCCAUUUGCUGUUAAACCUCGUCUUCAGGAUGCUCAGCCGCCUCUCAAGGACUCACUGGCUGGGAAAGGACAGGAUGUGACCAGUCCCUGGGCUGGUGAACUUUUGGGCACAGACUUCGCCCCCGAGCCUCAGAUCCCAUCUCUAGUGUGGAUGGAGCCCUGUAGCACUGGCAGGGCCAUCCCGGGGGUCUGCAGCCACCGCCGCCUGCUCUCCCAGCGCUCACAGCAUCAGGAGCUGGAAUCUCACCCCUCCUUCCCCAGUGUGAGGACCACCAGCCAAUGCUGCGUCAGGGGCCUGGACAUCCAGAGGGGUUUUCCCACUAUGUGCAUUCUGCUUUCAAAGAAGGAAACGCGGGCAGAUCCACACAGUGUUUUUUCAACCUGACGGUUAAACGUGUUUUUUCUCACAAUCUCAGAUAAGCACCUGGAGCUGCAUCGUCUGAGGCUGUCACUUAGAGAACUACUUGCUAGCUAAUUAUAAGUCAAUACCCCAACGUCACCAACUGCUAACCAGCCAUCAGAUGUCAGCGAGGAGACCUGAUUUAGCCUUUUCAUAUUCCCCGGGAGAGCAAAGGAACAAGGAGUUAGGGGAAAACGCUAGAAACAGGAACGACAUAUCAUUAAAUAAAGCUGUGACCAGCCUUCAGCGCUGCCAGCUUCUCUGAACGGGCCACACCCACGCUCUCAUUAACCUCGGGAAGCUGAAAGCAGCUUGUCCAGAGAGGUGCUGGGCAUGUAGUUGGAACCGCUGCCGUAAUGAACAAGGCAGCACCACCUAGCCCAAAUCUUUCUCUCUGACUUCACUCUUCAGCCGUGCUCGAGUGUAAAUAGACUUGUUUACCAAGUCCAGAAUGCGGAUGGCAAUGAAGUCUUAUUUGCGACACUGCAGUGACAAGGCUUUGUGCACAGUGGCACUCGGGAGAGUGGAAAAAAUAACCAGAGACUGUAUUUCUGGUCAAUGGUGGCCAUGCAGAUGUCUU